CCUACGGGAGGCAGCAGUAGGGAAUAUUGGUCAAUGGGGGAAACCCUGAAGCAGCAACGCCGCGUGGAGGAUGAAGGUUUUAGGAUUGUAAACUCCUUUUGUGAGAGAAGUUAAUGACGGUAUGUCACGAAUAAGCACCGGCUAACUCCGUGCCAGCACCCGUGGCAAGGCGGAGGGUGCAAGCGUUAUUCGGAAUCACUGGGCGUAAAGCGGGCGCAGGUGGGUUUGUAAGUCAGGUGUGAAAUCCUGUAGUUUAACUACAGAACUGCCUUUGAAACUGUGAGUCUAGAGUGUUGGAGAGGUAGGUGGAAUUCGUGGUGUAGGGGUGAAAUCCGUAGAUAUCAAGAGGAAUACUCAUUGCGAAGGCGGCCUACUGGAACAUUACUGACGCUCAUGCACGAAAGCGUGGGGAGCAAACAGGAUUAGAUACCCCAGUAGUC
rnacentral:rRNA from 1 species